ACGUAAAAUUUCAUGUUCUCAUAUGUAACCUUUUCCACGAGAAAAAUCAAUCAAAUUCAAAUAGAUUUUUCGAUUGAUCGAAAAGUAAAGUUUCAAAUCGCACGAAUGAUGGCGCGCGAAUAGCUGCGGUCACGUGACACUGGUUCAUUUGGCUUCCAAAGAUGGCGGCGGAAAGUGACAAGAGGCAUAAGAGUGUCGAAAAAUUGUGCCGUAAACGAGUGACUUUCUACGAAUUAGCUGUGGAUCUCAUAGGUUUGGCAUUUGGCUUGUUUCAUCAUUGGCAUGUGUCUACGCUAUUCGAAAAUGACCGGCAUUUCUCGCAUCUGUCCGAAAUCGAGAGAGAAAUGUCUUUUCGCACGGAAAUGGGGAUGUAUUACUCUUAUUACAAGACGAUCGCGGAAUCGAAAACAUUUAUGGACGGGCUGAGAAAAAUUAGCCACGAUAAUAUUUCGGAAUAUGGGAACGUUAUCAACGCGGCUAGAAAAUAUAGCUUGCUACCAGAGUUAGUUGCUGGAUAUCUUUAUCAUUGUGCCAAGAAUUUGGGGCUUAUAUCUAUAGAGCAGUGUUGGCAAAUAGAAAGAGGAGAAGGUUUGUCACCGGUAACCAGUUGCGAGGGUCUAGGCGUCCCAGUUUAUUUCUAUUUGGAAAUUGUUUGGACUUCCACAAUACUUACAGUAGCUAUACUAUUCUAUUAUGCCACUUUCCUUGGCAACAGCCUGUACAGUGGAUUCAUAGCAGUGCUUCUCUUCUUUUAUAACCAUAAUGAAUGUACUCGUGUACAGUGGUCUCCACCAUUGAGAGAAAGUUUCGCGUACCCUGUUUUACUAUGUCAAAUGUAUACGUUGACUCUGAUCCUUAGAGAGGGUACUCAACAGAGCACGCAGAAAAUACCAAAAGACUUACUUCAGAAAAUGGGCAUGGCGACGAUAAUUAGUUUAUGUUGUUGGCAAUUUUCUCAUUUCGUAUUCAUCACGCAAAUCGUCGCCCUCUUGAUAUUAAAAUGGAUGAAAAUAAUCUCGAACGAUCUUUACAGAUCUAUUUCCAAAGUUCACGGUUGGUCCAUCGUGAUAGCAAUGGGUAUCACCGACAGUUUCCCCUUGCUUUUCUCUAUGUACUUGUGUCUCUUGUUCGUUAGCAACGCUUUAAACGUAACGGAGAAAUUGACCAAAUUUAUCGGCACGAAACUGCAAACGUUCCUCGAAAUAGUUUUCACGAUCUUGUGCACAGCGUACUUAAAAUCGAUCUACGCCUUGUUAUACGAAGACACGGCGCACGUGUUCAAUUUACUUAAAACGAAACUGAUCGGUUACAAAGAUUUUCACACGAUGCUGUACACGUGCUCCCCAGAAUUCGAUUUCCUUCAGUACAGAAGCUACGAGGCGAUCAUAAAAACCUUACUUCUGCCGUCUGCCAUUCUCGCCGGAAUGCUGGUCAUCUAUUUUUGGUACAGAAAUUACAAAAUCAAAGGGUAUCCUAAAUGCAUAGAAGCGGAUCUGGCGUACAACGGGUUGCAGACCGGAGCCUUCAUUAUCAUGGCGGUUUUUAUCAUGAGAUUGAAACUGUUUAUGAAUCCUCAUCUGUGUAUAAUAGCCGGCACGAUAUGCGCCAACAGAUAUCUGGAGAAACUCGGUAUAAAGAGAAAGAUAACCAAGACCGCCAUUAUAGUUCUAUUGAUGUCCGCGAUAUCUUACCACGGAUUAGAAAUACUGCAGGAAGAGCGAAGCGUUAUGGGUAACUAUAUUAUGGCGAGUACAGCGACAUCGAGCAAGAGGAACUAUUCGAAUGGAUCAAGAAGAAUACACCCGAACACGCUGUGUUUGCCGGGAAGAUGUCUUUGAUGGCGAAUUUGAUGCUCUCCACGGGAAGGCCGAUCGUCAAUAAUCCUUACUACGAGAGCAAAGAGAUGAGAGAUCGGACUAUGAAAGUUUACGAGGUGUUCAGCAGAAAAGACGUCACAUCCGUAUACGUCACGCUUAGGAACUUGCAGGUCGGAUACGUGAUUCUAGAGGCAUCGAUGUGCUUCGGCUACGCAAAUUUGCCAUCGCAGUGCCAAAUGAUCGACUUGUGGGAUCUGGUGGACAACGGAGUGGCGAAGGCUGCUGGAAAGCAACCCGUGUGCCCGAUGCUGUUUCGAGGGAACGCUUACCCUUUCAAACGAUCGUUCGUGAAUAAUCGUUACGUUGUUCUGCAACUCGAUUAUUCCUACUGCGUGGAAUUGAAACCGAACAAUUCCCUUAAUUACCAGUCUUGAACUGGUAAUUGUGAUCUAAUAUGACAAAUACCUCGCCGAUACUGCAGAGAAUAUUUUUUUCCCAAAAGAGAGGCAAUUAUGUAUGAUACUUAUAUAUAUAUAUAUAUAUAUUUUUUUUUUAAGAACAAUGACUCGUUGAGAUGAGCCAAAGUAAUUUUGUUAAAAAAAAGUUAGAACUGCGAAUAAAAAAAAAUGUUAACUACGUUCCUGUAAAGUCCA